CCUACGGGUGGCAGCAGUGGGGAAUAUUGCGCAAUGGGCGAAAGCCUGACGCAGCGACGCCGCGUGAGGGAUGAAGGUCUUCGGAUCGUAAACCCCUGUUAGCAGGGAAGAACGGUCACUGUGCUAAUCAGCAGUGAAUUGACGGUACCUGCAAAGGAAGCACCGGCUAACUCCGUGCCAGCAGCCGAGGUAAUACGGAGGGUGCGAGCGUUAAUCGGAAUUACUGGGCGUAAAGCGCUCGUAGGCGGUAUGUCAAGUCAAGGGUGAAAUCCCCGCGCCGAACGUGGGAACUGCAUUUGAAACUGGACGACUGGAGUGUGUGAGAGGAUAGUGGAAUUCCAGGUGUAGGAGUGAAAUGCGUAGAUAUCUGGAGGAACAUCAGUGGCGAAGGCGACUAUCUGGCACAUAACUGACGCUGAGGAGCGAAGGCGUGGGUAGCAAACAGGAUUAGAUACCCCAGUAGUC
rnacentral:rRNA from 1 species